ncrna:unclassified sequences PhotoRC-II RNA
UCAUCAUAUAUUCCCUCUAACCGAGAUCACGGGGGUUACAUCUCUCAUAUCCACUAGUGAAGGGAUUAGUGGAAAUAUCCGUAUCG